CAGGGAGGAGAUUGUCCCACUCUACUCUGCGCUGGUGUGGCCUCACCUCGAGUACUGUGUGAAGUUCUGGGCACCACACUACA